UCAUCACCAUCACCAUCCUGAGUAGUCUUUCGGGAGAGUUGGUUUCGACUGGAAGACGAGGAAAGUUCUUCCACGGUCAGUAAAGCGAACACAAGUUUCAGACCCCCGGAAGAGCACCUUCCGGGGGUUUUUACUU
rfam:Enterovibrio coralii strain CAIM 912 contig00043, whole genome shotgun sequence.